rnacentral:lncRNA from 1 species
UGCACGCAAAGAUUGGCCUCCUGAAGCAGAUGGAAUUGAUUUGGUGAUUAUAAUGGACAGUGUUCCUCAGGGGGGACCUGACUGACUUGAUGUCAUCUGCAAGAUCUUCUACAAAUUUGGUAAAAUCAGAAAUGACUACUUUCCUGAAGAGAAUGAAAAGACAAAAGGGACAAGGAGCCGAGGGGCAUCAUCCCACUGGAGAACCUCAGCAUCAGAGAGGAGGAGGGCCCAUGGAAAGCCGUAAGUGGCCUCCUUUCGCCAGUGUCCCUUUUUUGCCUCCUUGGACUGAGCUUGCAGGUGCCCCAGGCUGGGAAGCUAACAGCAGCUUGGGAACCUGUUUUCUCUCUCUCCCCAGAACUGCUUUGAGCUUUAUAAUCCCAGCCACAAAGGGCAGGUCAUCAAAGCCUGCACAACAGAGGCUGACGGCCAGUGUAUCGCAUCUCUGCAUGGAGCCCUGAAGAGAAGGAGCAAGCAUCAGCAGGGACCCUUCCUAUGACAUGUUGGCAACGAGGAAAAGGAGGAUUGCCAAUAAGAAAUAGAGCUGCCUUGGCCCAGCAGAGGUCAGCGUCAGAAUACACUACCAGAACACAUGGAUCCAGCCGAUACCUGCAGAAGCAGCGGCCAGAAAUUAGCAACCCAAACACCAGCACCACCUCAGACAGGACCUGGCACUGUCGUGACCACUUACUGAGGAUGCUCAAUGUACAGGCACAGGGAGGCUGUGCAGGGUGUGAGCCCUGUCCUGGCCUCAGGAGAGAGCCCAGGCCCCAGGGUCCAGCACCCACGAGCAAAAGACACGACCAAGGCCAUCUUCGUGCCAGGAUCACCAUGCUGCCUUCCCUCAAGAGGAGCCGAGACCAGGCCUUUCACACCCCACCCUGGCGCUCCUUCCCUGAGAGCUGUUCAUCUGCUUUGGUGCAUUCCCUUUAAGUCCCUGCUGUUGAGGUCAGUCUGUGGACCUGCUCCCUGCCCUUGUGGUUUGGGGCCGGAUGUAGGAAUGUAUGGAGAAGGAGCAGAGCUCCCCUGAUGGGGACAGCAGGAGCUGACAGGGC